rnacentral:rRNA from 1 species
CCUACGGGAGGCUGCAGUGGGGAAUAUUGGGCAAUGGGCGCAAGCCUGACCCAGCAACGCCGCGUGAAGGAAGAAGGCUUUCGGGUUGUAAACUUCUUUUGACAGGGAAGAGUAGAAGCCGGUACCUGUCUUCUCACCUACGGCUAACUUCGUGCCAGCAGCCGCGGUAAUACGUAGGUGGCAAGCGUUGUCCGGAUUCACUGGGUGUAAAGGGCGUGUAGCCGGGUUGACAAGUCAGAUGUGAAAUCCUGCGGCUUAACCGGGGAACUGCAUUGGAAACUGUUGAUCUUGAGUACUGGAGAGGCAGACGGAAUUCCUAGUGUAGCGGUGAAAUGCGUAGAUAUUAGGAGGAACACCAGUGGCGAAGGCGAUCUGCUGGACAGCAACUGACGGUGAGGCGCGAAAGCGUGGGGAGCAAACAGGAUUAGAUACCCCUGUAGUC